AUGACGGACUUCCAAAACCUCAAUACACAAACUGAAUGCCUAAAUAGAGCACACCUAAUUCUGCUCCCCAAAACAGAACUGGCAAACACUCCCGACGCCUACCGCCCCAUCUCGCUUCAAAACUGCCCUAUAAAAGCCGUUGCAAAGGUGCUCACUAACAGGCUAAAACCAUUGAUCCCGCUGCUGGUUCAUGCUAACCAAACUGGGUUCAUCUCAGGCCGUAGCAUCGCAGAAAACUUUAUUUACGCUGCCGACCUCGUCCGUGCCUGCCACUCCAGAAAGGCUCCAACAAUGGUAAUCAAGUUGGAUUUUAGCAAAGCUUUCGACUCACUCUCCUGGGACUCCCUUAUAUCCACACUA
rnacentral:rRNA from 1 species